UACAGAGGUCUCAAGCGUUUGUUCGGAUUCAUUGGGCGUAAAGGGUGCGUAGGCGGCGCGGUAAGUCGGGUGUGAAAUUUCGAGGCUUAACUUCGAAACUGCAUUCCAUACUGCGGUGCUUGAGGACUGGAGAGGAGACUGGAAUUUACGGUGUAGCGGUGAAAUGCGUAGAUAUCGUAAGGAAGACCAGUGGCGAAGGCGAAUCUCUGGACAGUUACUGACACUGAGGCACGAAGGC
rnacentral:rRNA from 1 species